rnacentral:rRNA from 1 species
GACGACGCUGGCGGCGUGGAUUAGGCAUGCAAGUCGAACGGUAGGAUACCUUCGGGUAUCUGAGAGUGGCGAACGGGUGAGUAACACGUAGGUGAUCUACCCUCAAGAUUGGGACAACCAGGGAAACUUGGGCUAAUACCGGAUGAAAGCAGCAGUGAUGUUGUUUGAAAGGUGGCGUAAGCUGCCGUUUGGGGAUGAGCCUGCGCUCUAUUAGUUAGUUGGCGGGGUAAAGGCCCACCAAGGCGAUGAUAGAUAGGCGGCCUUAACGGGUGGUCGCCCACACUGGGAUUGAGAUACGGCCCAGACUCCUACGGGAGGCAGCAGUCGAGAAUAGUCUACAAUGGCCGAAAGGCUGAUAGUGCGACGCCGCGUGAACGAAGAAGCCCUUCGGGGUGUAAAGUUCUUUUAUAUGUGAGCAGUGCUUUCUAUGUGAACAGCAUGGGGAGAGAGAUAUUAGCAUAUGAAUAAGCAACGGCUAACUCCGUG